AUACUUACCUGGCAGGGGGUAUACUAUGAUCACAAAGGUGAUUUUCCAAGGGUGAGGCUUAUUCAUUGCACUCCAGAUGUGCUGAUCCCUGCAAUUUCCUCAAAUGUGGGAAACUUGAUUGCAUAAUUUGUGGUAGUGGGGGACUGCAUUUGUGCUCUCCGCUG